UUUUGUUGUGUACUUUUUAAAUUCUUGCUAUUUCAUAUAACUCCGCAAUUUAAUUUUUUUACCUCUAAAAGGAAUAAAACCUGGUCUUUAAAGGUAUGCCUAAUAACUAAAGAUUAUCGUUUUACUUACAACAAUUGGUUGGUGGCACGGGCUUUAACUAAGAUGGGCUCUCGUUUAUCAGUGGAUGGGGGAUUUUUAAUUAUUUAUAUGGCCUCCCAUCCCGUUAACGCAAUCGCUUACAGGCUAUGGUCGCAAGUGAAAAUUACUGCGUAGUUUUUUCAAUCGCAGAAGAAGUUUCUAACGUUGUAGCACUGCCGCCUUACUGAAGUUUAAAAUGUUUGCCAAGUGCUAUCAGCGAGUGCUCAAUAUCCUAGAACUAAUAAACUUCAGAGUCGAGUACUUUAACAUACUAUUCUCCAGGUUCGACUCAAUCUCUAUGUAAUAUUGUUUUAAGCAAAUCUGGAAAGCUUGGGAUAACUUAGUUACCUAGCCGGUAGUUUGUUAGACGAGCCUUAGGAACUAUACCUGUAUUAAAAGCUUUUUAGCUGUAGAUGACAUGCUUCGCAUAUUACAUUUUCAGAAAGGACUGCUUGGAAAGAUAAAUAAAAAAAAGAAUAGAGC